ACGCUGGCGGCAGGCCUAACACAUGCAAGUCGAGCGGUAGAGAGAAGCUUGCUUCUCUUGAGAGCGGCGGACGGGUGAGUAAUGCCUAGGAAUCUGCCUGGUAGUGGGGGAUAACGUUCGGAAACGGACGCUAAUACCGCAUACGUCCUACGGGAGAAAGCAGGGGACCUUCGGGCCUUGCGCUAUCAGAUGAGCCUAGGUCGGAUUAGCUAGUUGGUGGGGUAAUGGCUCACCAAGGCGACGAUCCGUAACUGGUCUGAGAGGAUGAUCAGUCACACUGGAACUGAGACACGGUCCAGACUCCUACGGGAGGCAGCAGUGGGGAAUAUUGGACAAUGGGCGAAAGCCUGAUCCAGCCAUGCCGCGUGUGUGAAGAAGGUCUUCGGAUUGUAAAGCACUUUAAGUUGGGAGGAAGGGCAGUUGCCUAAUACGUAACUGUUUUGACGUUACCGACAGAAUAAGCACCGGCUAACUCUGUGCCAGCAGCCGCGGUAAUACAGAGGGUGCAGGCGUUAAUCGGAAUUACUGGGCGUAAAGCGCGCGUAGGUGGUUUGUUAAGUUGGAUGUGAAAUCCCCGGGCUCAACCUGGGAACUGCAUUCAAAACUGACUGACUAGAGUAUGGUAGAGGGUGGUGGAAUUUCCUGUGUAGCGGUGAAAUGCGUAGAUAUAGGAAGGAACACCAGUGGCGAAGGCGACCACCUGGACUGAUACUGACACUGAGGUGCGAAAGCGUGGGGAGCAAAC
rnacentral:rRNA from 1 species